rnacentral:rRNA from 1 species
UACGUAGGGCGCAAGCGUUGUCCGGAAUUAUUGGGCGUAAAGAGCUCGUAGGCGGCUUGUCGCGUCUGUUGUGAAAGCCCGGGGCUUAACCCCGGGUCUGCAGUGGAUACGGGCAGGCUAGAGGCAGGUAGGGGAGAACGGAAUUCCCGGUGUAGCGGUGAAAUGCGCAGAUAUCGGGAGGAACACCGGUGGCGAAGGCGGUUCUCUGGGCCUGCACUGACGCUGAGGAGCGAAAGCGUGGGGAGCGAACAGG